ensembl:lncRNA
UGCAAAACAUGUGUCCGUCAAAAGAGUAUCCUGUUAUCUGAUAUUUUAGAAACUGCUUUGAUUUCAUUUCUGGACUCCCUCUUGAGACAUGGGAUCAGGAAAGCCAAGGCGCAGAAAGAAGUGAACUUGGUGAGGAAUGUGAAAAACAUUAUGAAGACAUUCUACAGGAUCCCUGUAAAUCAGCCCUUCAGUUCUCAGUGGAAGAAGAGGUCCUGAUGGAGUGGAAGAACAAUGAAGCUACAAUGCUGCAGACACAGCAUAUGAUCCACAGCACAAGGAUCAUCCCUGGAGGUAUUCAAGAAAUGUUUAGUUGUUGCACUAACUUUUGACACUAUUGUAAGAGAUUAUUCUUUUAGAUCAUUGACUCAAAGUUUGCUGAGGAACAAGUCCAGGCAAGUCCUGGGCAAAGGUAGAGAAAUCUUCUGCCUGGAGGACACUGACA